CUCGUAUGUUUGUUCCUCUUCACCGAUACAGAGCGGCAUUCAACUGAAUGAAACGAAUAAACACAAGGCACACGAACACCUAUUACAUGAUCAGUUGCAUUUGUUAGUUUAAUGGUAAAAACUCCCAAAAGAAGAACAGUCAAAGCAUACAACCACCUGGAACUAUUUUGUGGCUUCACAUCAUGGUUGUCCGGUCUAAACUUCACUCAAAUGGCGUUCCUAUUCUACCGAAUGGAUCU